GCCCAUGUAGCUCAGUGGCAGAGCACUCCCUUGGUAAGGGAGAGGUCGCCCGUUCAAUCCGGGCCAUGGGCACCA
rnacentral:tRNA from 2 species